rnacentral:lncRNA from 1 species
CACACUAAUCUUGUUAAGCCUUUAGGAUGCUGCAUUGAAGCAAGAGAAAACAUUUUAUUAUACUGAUACAUGCCUAAUAGAAGAGAAUUACUAAGUUGGACCAAUUGCAUAAGCAUUGUAGGAGUUUCUCAAGGAUGACUCUACCUUCACAAGUAUUCAAGGUUGAAUGUGAUUCAUCGAGAUUUGAAAGCCAGCGAUUUUGGACUAGCGAGAAUUUUUUUGGGUUGCAACAAUCUGAAGCAAACGUAGAUAGAAUCUUCAAAACUAAGUAAACGAUAUUGAUCGAUAACUAAACAAUUGUUAUUAGUGUGGAAGUAUCAACUAAAAAGUAUUUGUUGUUUUACUUCCGCGGCUACGUGUCUCUUGAAUAUACCAUACUGGGCAUUGUUACUAAGGAGUAAGGAUGAGAAAUUUCUUGGUGGCAUUUCAUCAAAUAGUUAAAAUGCAGGUUAUUUUCUUACAUUAACGAAUAAUCUCUAGCACAAACUCGCCUCCCAUUAACGUAAAGAUUCAAAUAUCAUAUAUAUCAUCGAUUGAUUUACAUUUAAAUUUAACUCGAUUUGGUAAUACAAACCAUGAACUGGGC